GCUGGGCAAGGUGGCUCAUGCCUGUAAUCCCGGCACUUUGGGAGGCUGAGGCAGGAAAAUCACUAGAGGCCAGGAGUUCAAGACCAGCAUGGGCAACAUAAAGAGAUCCUGGUUCUACUAUAUAUAUAUAUAUAUAUAUAUAUAUAUAUAAAUUAGCCAGGUGUGGUACAUCUAGCUACUCUGGGAGGCUGAGGCAGAAGAAUUGAACCUGGGAGUUCAAGAUUGCAGUGAACUAUGAUUAUACCACUGCACUCUUGCCUGGGCAACAGAGUGAGACUCUGUCUCA
rnacentral:sRNA from 1 species